GCGAACGCUGGCGGCAGGCUUAACACAUGCAAGUCGAGCGGGCCCUUCGGGGUCAGCGGCAGACGGGUGAGUAACGCGUGGGAACGUGCCCUUCGGUUCGGAAUAACUCAGGGAAACUUGAGCUAAUACCGGAUACGCCCUUAUGGGGAAAGGCUUGCUGCCGAAGGAUCGGCCCGCGUCUGAUUAGCUAGUUGGUGAGGUUAUGGCUCACCAAGGCGACGAUCAGUAGCUGGUCUGAGAGGAUGAUCAGCCACACUGGGACUGAGACACGGCCCAGACUCCUACGGGAGGCAGCAGUGGGGAAUAUUGGACAAUGGGGGCAACCCUGAUCCAGCCAUGCCGCGUGAGUGAUGACGGCCUUAGGGUUGUAAAGCUCUUUUCUCCGGGACGAUAAUGACGGUACCGGAGGAAUAAGCCCCGGCUAACUUCGUG
rnacentral:rRNA from 1 species